rnacentral:rRNA from 1 species
UGAACGCUAGCGGCAGGCCUAACACAUGCAAGUCGAACGGUAACAUGAGAGCUUGCUCUUGAUGACGAGUGGCGCACGGGUGCGUAACGCGUAUGCAACCUACCUUUAACUGGAGAAUAGCCUUUAGAAAUGAAGAAUAAUACUCCAUAAUAUUAUCUUACGGCAUCGUAAGAUUCUUAAAGCUUCGGCGGUUAAAGAUGGGCAUGCGUUCUAUUAGUUAGUUGGUGAGGUAAUGGCUCACCAAGACUCCGAUAGAUAGGGGGCCUGAGAGGGUUAUCCCCCACACUGGUACUGAGACACGGACCAGACUCCUACGGGAGGCAGCAGUGAGGAAUAUUGCACAAUGGACGAAAGUCUGAUGCAGCCAUGCCGCGUGCAGGAUGAAUGCCCUAUGGGUUGUAAACUGCUUUUAUAUAGGAAGAAACUUUUCUACGUGUAGAGAACUGACGGUACUAUAAGAAUAAGGACCGGCUAACUCC